CGUGAAGCUGGAUUCGCUAGUAAUCGCGCAUCAGCCAUGGCGCGGUGAAUACGUUCCCGGGCCUUGUACACACCGCCCGUCAAGCCAUGGGAGCCGGGGGUGCUUGAAGUGCGUCGCCGCAAGGCGCGCCCUAGAGCAAAACCGGUGACUGGGGCUAAGUCGUAACAAGGUAAC
rnacentral:rRNA from 1 species